rnacentral:rRNA from 1 species
GGAUCCAGACUUUGUUAUGGCUCAGGAUGAACGCUAGCGGCAGGCUUAACACAUGCAAGUCGAGGGGCAGCGCGGGGCAGCAAUGUUCUGGCGGCGACCGGCGGAAGGGUGCGUAACGCGUGAGCGACAUGCCCGUUGCCCGGGGACAACCGGUGGAAACGCCGACUAAUCCCCGAUGGGACGGAGGCCCUCAUGGGUCUCCGUUGAAAGUUACGGCGGCGACGGAUUGGCUCGCGUCCGAUUAGCUUGUUGGCGGGGUAACGGCCCACCAAGGCUACGAUCGGUAGGGGUUCUGAGAGGAAGGUCCCCCACAAUGGAACUGAGACACGGUCCAUACUCCUACGGGAGGCAGCAGUGAGGAAUAUUGGUCAAUGGGCGGAAGCCUGAACCAGCCAUGCCGCGUGCGGGAAGGAGGCCCUAUGGGCUGUGAACCGCUUUUGCCUGGGGGCAAUAAGGGCGUCGUGCACGUCCGAUGAGAGUACCAGGCGAAUAAGCAUCGGCUAACUCCGUACCAGCAGCCGCGGUAAUACGGGGGAUGCGAGCGUUAUCCGGAUUCAUUGGGUUUAAAGGGUGCGUAGGCUGUGCGUCAAGUCAGGGGUGAAAUUCCGGGGCUCAACUCCGGGGCUGCCCUUGAUACUGUCGCGCUGGAGUGCGGAUGCCGCCGGAGGAAUGAGUGGUGUAGCGGUGAAAUGCUUAGAUAUCACUCAGAACACCGAUUGCGAAGGCAUCUGGCGAAUCCGUAACUGACGCUGAGGCACGAAAGCGUGGGGAUAGAACAGGAUUAGAUACCCUGGUAUUCCACGCCGUAAACGAUGAUGGCUAACCGCCGGCGACACACUGUCGGUGGCCAAGCGAAAGCGAUAAGCCAUCCACCUGGGGAGUACGUCGGCAACGAUGCAACUCAAAGGAAUUGACGG